AGGGAUGUGGCUCAGUUGGUAGAGUGUUUGCCUACCAUGUAUGAAGUCCUGGGUUCAAUCCCCAGCAUCUCCC